GCUCCAGUAGUGUAGCCAGGCCAAGCAUUAGAGGCUCUCAAUCUCUCGACUCGGGUUCAAAUCCCGACUGGAGCA
rfam:Thermoplasmatales archaeon Gpl AMDT5_GPLC00003, whole genome shotgun sequence.